rnacentral:rRNA from 1 species
AUGGUGUGUAACUAUAAAUGGAUUUGGAGAUCCAAGAUACCCCUGAAAAUACAAACCUUCCUUUGGCAGCUUUUUCAGGAUGCAGUCUUGAGUAGAGAUGUUAUGAGUAGGAGGAAAUGGUUGGGUAACCCUACUUGCUCUUUUUGUGACAAAAAGGAAACCUCCCAGCAUCUCUUCUUUACGUGUCCAGUAGCUAGAGUUAUAUGGAGGACUGUGGGUUGUAUCCUGGGCACGGUUCUAUGUCCAAACAAUAUUUGGCAAUAUUUUUCAUGGUGCUAUGUGUUUCUUGCUGAUGGGGAGAGAUUCUACACUUUCGGUUUAGCAGCGAUGUGUUGGGUUAUGUGA